GCCAGAUGCCCGCGAGGACCACAGAAGGAACUAAGCCUGGGGCAGUCAUACUCUGCUCCCAAGCUUUCCAAUCAAUUCAAUCCCCUUCCCACCCUCUGUUGGAGACAGUGAGUCACCACUGAGAGAGGGGAUGUCUCUUCACAUGGAAAUGUGCUUCCCUGGGAGAACAAGUUCCCCUCGCCAGAAUCCUGGGAGACUGUGAUCCUAAAGCAGGUAGAGAGAAGUGGAAAGACCAUGUGGCAAGAAGCCCUGUGCUCUCAACCUGGGCCCAUCAUUGCCUCUGUCAUCCCAGGCAGAUCCAGUUACCUCUUGGCCUCGGUUUCCCCCCUUUGAAAAAUGAUGCUCUGCCUUUUGGAGGCAAUUCAAAGCAGACAACCUGAAAUGGAAACAAAGAAGCAAAAAUGACUGAAGGGCACAUCCUUUGCCUUUCCCACGUGGAACUGGUGACUCGGACCCGUGUCCCGUAAGCCUCCAAGCUGAAUGAGAGGAGAUCCUGAACGGAACUAAUAAGCCACCACCAACCGGAAGAGUUCGGAA